GAAUUCCCAGUAAGUGCGGGUCAUAAGCUUGCGUGAUUAAGUCCCUGCCCUUUGUACACACCGCCCGUCGCUACUACCGAUUGGAUGGUUUAGUGAGGCCCUCGGAUCGGCCCCGCCGGGGUCGGCCCACGGCCUUGCGGAGCGCUGAGAAGACGGUCGAACUUGACUAUCUAGAGGAAGUAAAAGUCGAACAAGGUUUCCGUAGGUGAACCUGCGGAAGGAUCAUUA
rnacentral:rRNA from 1 species